CGUGUAGGCGGUUGGUCAAGUCUGGUGUGAAAGCCCGGGGCUUAGCCCCGGAAGUGCGCUGGAAACUAGCCAACUUGAGCGCGAUAGAGGAGGGUGGAAUUCCUGGUGUAGCGGUGAAAUGCGUAGAUAUCAGGAGGAACACCGGCGGCGAAGGCGGCCCUCUGGGUCGUUGCUGACGCUGAGACGCGAAAGCGUGGGGAGCAAACAGGAGUUAGAUACCCUGGUAGUCCACGCUGUAAACUAUGGGUACUAGGUGUUCGGGGUGUUGACCCCCUGAGUGCCGACGCUAACGCAUUAAGUACCCCGCCUGGGGACUACGGCCGCAAGGCUAAA
rnacentral:rRNA from 1 species